UACAGAGGGUGCGAGCGUUGUUCGGAAUUAUUGGGCGUAAAGGGCGCGUAGGCGGUGCGGUAAGUCACCUGUGAAAUCUCCUGGCUUAACUGGGAGCUUGCAGGCGAAACUGCCGUGCUGGAGUGUGGGAGAGGUAAGCGGAAUUCCUGGUGUAGCGGUGAAAUGCGUAGAUAUCAGGAGGAACACCUGUGGUGUAGACAGCUUACUGGACCACUUCUGACGCUGAGACACGAAAGCGUGGGUAGCAAACAGG
rnacentral:rRNA from 1 species